UACAGAGGAGCCAAGCGUUGUCCGGAUUGACUGGGCGUAAAGCGCACGCAGGCGGUUGCGCGCGUGGGGUGUGAAAUCUGGCCGCUUAACGGCCAGGCGCCAUCCCAUACGGCGCGACUGGAGGGCUGCAGAGGUCGAUGGAAUUGCCGGUGUAGUGGUGAAAUGCUUAGAUAUGUUACAGAACACCAAUUGUGAAGACAGCUAACUAAGCGAUGAUUGACGCUGAGGCACGAAAGCGUGGGGAGCAAACAGG
rnacentral:rRNA from 1 species